AUGGUGACACCGGAGGCACUAGCGGCGGCGAUGGAGUCUCACUGUGCUGUCCGACAGAUGAGAACUAAGGUGGAGGUCACUUGCCCACCAUUCCAUUGUUUCAUUCGCUUCGACUCGACGGAUGAUUGCACUCGUGUGGUGCACGCGUCAGAGCAGCUUCGUUGUUGUGGCAGCAGGAUUUCUUUCCAGCGUUGGUCAAGCUUCUCGCGUGGCAAGCCGGGGAAGCUCGAGUACAAGACGUUGCUGAGUUUGGAGGGGCUCCCGGAGGAGGCUUGGGAUGCACACACCGUCAACCUGGUGCUCGCCGGUGUCGACGGCGAGCUCAUCGACAUGCUCCCGGCCACCGACAAGUGGGUGUUGCCAGUCACCGAGUGGCUGCGCAACCCUUCUGGUGUGCCAAAGGUGCUCACCGUCUCUGUUCCUGCACCUCCUACGGGCACUUGGAAGCCAGACUCCGACGACGAGAAUGCACAUUCACCACCGGCUCCAAAUUCUCCCACAGAGCGUGCAACCGUAGAUUUUCCAGUGAUUAUGCAUGUCAAAGAGGUCGUCGACCGUGGCCCCUUGCUAACUGAAGGCUUGGCUGUACAAUUUCUCCCUGAUGAAGAUGAAGACCUUACCCGCAAGCAUACUUUCAGCACAUGGCGCGGCAAGAUAGAUGGCACUGGCCCUGGUCAAUAUGGCCAAGCUUAA
rnacentral:rRNA from 1 species